AAUGGAAGAAGGCGGGGCGACGUCAAGUCAUAUGGCCUUACGGCCAGGGCUACACACGUCUACAAUGGUCGGACAAAGGGUUGCUACACAGCGAUGUGUUUUUUGGAAGGGAAAGCCGAUCGUAGUCCGGAUUGGAGUCUGCAACUCGACUCCAUGAAGUCGGAAUCGCUAGUAAUCGCGGAUCAGAUGCCCGGUGAAUACGUUCCCGGGCCUUGUACACCCCCCCCGUCUCACCAUGGGAGUUUGUUGCACCAGAAGUAGCUAGCCUAACUGCAAAGAGGGCGGUACCAACGGU
rnacentral:rRNA from 1 species